GAUGAAGAACGUAGCGAAAUGCGAUAAGUAGUGUGAAUUGCAGAAUUCAGUGAAUCAUCGAAUCUUUGAACGCACAUUGCGCCCCAUGGUAUUCCGUGGGGCAUGCCUGUUCGAGCGUCAUUACCCCCUCAAGCUCCGCUUGGUGUUGGGCGUCUGUCCCGCUUCGCGCGCGGACUCGCCCCAAAGGUAUUGGCAGCGGUCGUGCCAGCUUCUCGCGCAGCACAUUGCGCUUCUCGAGGCACCGGUGGGCCCGCGUCCAUCAAGCUCACCCCCCCAGUUUGACCUCGGAUCAGGUAGGGAUACCCGCUGAACUUAAGCAUAUCAAUAAGCGGAGGA
rnacentral:misc_RNA from 1 species